CACAUUUCUAGGCCAGGGGCUCAGAAUCAACCUCACUACUGCCCCUAGUUUAUAAACAUAAAUCAGCUUCUACUUAAGUUGACAACAAUGUCAAGUCAAAAUUUUAGACGUACUGCUGCACACAAUUUGCAUUCACUUCUUGAUAUUUAAAAAUGCAUUAAUUGCUCAUUUCCUGCUGGAACAGGGGUGUUUGCUGCAGGACAGUCACACAUUUCCCCUUCCUCCUCAGUGUGCUGCACUCUGCAUGCAAAAAUGUUGUCUCCCACUCUACUAUCUGGUGCCUCCUGACUUUCCUGAAAAGCAGGUCUCCAUCUUACCUGUGGAGAAACUGUUCCCAGUGUUCCAUCAAUUCAAAGAGGACAUGUCCUACUCCUUGUCUGUAUGAACCAGGAUCACAGCUAUUAAGAGAAGAUUAACAUUUUAGAUUUAAUUAGGUCUUCUGAGACAAAAGUAGAAGAACCAUAAGGAAACAGAUUCU
ensembl:lncRNA